UACGUAGGGGGCAAGCGUUGUCCGGAAUCAUUGGGCGUAAAGCGCGUGUAGGCGGCUCGAUAAGUCUGCUGUGAAAGUCCAAGGCUCAACCUUGGGAUGCCGGUGGAGUACUGUCGAGCUCGAGUCCGGAAGAGGAGUGUGGAAUUCCUGGUGUAGCGGUGAAAUGCGCAGAUAUCAGGAGGAACACCAAUGGCGAAGGCAGCACUCUGGGACGUGACUGACGCUGAGACGCGAAAGCGUGGGGAGCAAACAGG
rnacentral:rRNA from 1 species